rnacentral:rRNA from 1 species
GAGUGACACCGACAACCAGGAGGUUGGGUUAGAAGCAGCCACCCUUGAAAGAGUGCGUAAUAGCUCACUGGUCAAGUGAUUCCGCGCCGACAAUGUAACGGGGCUCAAGCACACCACCGAAGUUGUAGAUUUCGCACUAUAGACAAGCCUUCGUGGUUCAGUCGUGCGGAGUGGUAGGAGAGCGUCGUGUGGCGAGUGAAGCGGCGGAGUGAUCCAGCCGUGGACGCUACACGAG